CAGGGUGGGAGGGAGGACAAUGCUGCCCGACACCAGCUGGUGACCUCAGCGGCCUGGCCUGGAGGGAGGGGGCUGGGCAGAAGGGGGCUCCUGGGCAGAGUGGGUGGGAACCAACCUCCCCAGGGACAGUGAGGGGCCCUUGGCCUUGUUUGGCAGCCUCUGCCUCCCGGCCAAGGUGACUCUGAGGAUGGAGAGGACUCCAGUUCAGCUCAGCCUCAGUCCCUCAGCAGACCCCCGCCUCCCCCACGCCAUGCGCCCUCCCAUGUGGCACACUGGUGAGCUGGGUGUUGGUCUUGAUGGCCGGUUCCCCACACCAGGACGCAAAUGUGGUGACAGCAGAGAUUUUGAUUCUGCAUCCUCUGCUCGGCCCCCAUCUAGCACACUGCUUGGCACGUAGUAGAUGCUCAUUAAACACGGGUUGAGUGACCACACAGACGAACUCUUCCCAGCCAUCUGGGGAACCUAGAAGCCAUGCUGGGAUUCCCUAGGACAGUGGCUCUCUCCUUUGCCUGCCCUUCAGAGCUACCCAUGGCCGCCUAGGCCCCAGCCCCAGCCCCAGAAGGUCUGAGUUAAUUGCUCUGGGAUGAGGCUUUAGAAGCAUAAUUCUAAAAAGCUCUCCAGGUCAUUCCGAUGUGCAGCCAAGGUUAGGAGUUUGGGCCAGAGGAGAGGCUCCUUCCUCGUGGCCACGGGAGCCCGUGGUGCCCAGCCCACCAGUCACCGGGAGAUAGCAGAGGGUCAACGAGCAGCUGACGGAAUAGAGGAACCGUGCACUGACUGGAGCUACUCACUGACCCUUAGGGAGCUCACGGGUUGAAUCUGUGCGCCAAACAGAUGACGGUGAGCCACGUGACGUUUCCUUUCCUGGAGGGAAGGAGUCGCAGCCUCGUCGGUUCCCCCAGGGAUCAGGGAGCGAGAAGAUCCUCUGCAACUCCCGCCCCUGCGUGUGGGUGACCUGAGCUUGUCCCGAGCCACAGGUCUCGGGCACCCUGGCCUGUCUGAGUGGGACGCAGGGUCGGGAGACGGAAGCACUCCUUGGAGAGCGUCGCUCAGCCCCAGGACACAAGAACCCCGUGUUCCUCACUGGGGACAGGCAAGGAGGUGAGACAGGGUGGCUUGGGAGAGAUGCUCGGAGUAAGGGACGUGGCCAGGGCCACAGCUGUGGGAACAGGGACCCCCAUGAGCCCUCCAGGGGACGGGCACUAGAGAGGCAGGGGUUGGGCACGUGGCAGAGGGUUGGGCCUUUGGACUUGCUUUGUCACCGCACAAGUACGGAGUAGGGCAGAAGCCCUGGUGCUGGGGAUUGACGGGGACAAACUGGGACAUGUUCCGUCCCCUUCCCCAGUCUACCUGCCCCAGGAACACUGUCAUGGGCCUGAAAGGAAUACCCGGGGCUUGUCCAGAAUUAAUGGCCGAGAUACGCAGCGGCCAGAGGGUCCCUGUACAGCUGGGGACAGAGGGGCCUCCUGGAGAGCGGCUGGGAGGGGCACCCCCUUCAAUCCUCGGGCUGUUCUGGGGGUCUCGGGCAGCGUCCCCUGUGGGUCCUGUUCCAUGACAGCCUGCUCACUUUUGCCUGCCACCUGCAGGACCCCCGGGGAAGCUGUCCCUAUGGUGUCCCUGCUGUGCUAAAGGUCACGCUGCCCUGCUCAGAGCCUUGUCCUGGCAUCCCCUGGAGCCACGGUCCCCAGGUCUCAAACGGAGCAGCACCUCUGAGCCCACCCAGCCAGAGCCACAGCACCACGGGAGAAGUGGGUGGCAGGUAAACCGGGCAUCUCAUGUGGGGACCACG
rnacentral:lncRNA from 1 species